rnacentral:rRNA from 1 species
CCUGAUGCAGCGACGCCGCGUGAGGGAUGACGGCCUUCGGGUUGUAAACCUCUUUCAGUAGGGAAGAAGCGAAAGUGACGGUACCUGCAGAAGAAGCGCCGGCUAACUACGUGCCAGCAGCCGCGGUAAUACGUAGGGCGCAAGCGUUAUCCGGAAUUAUUGGGCGUAAAGAGCUCGUAGGCGGUUUGUCGCGUCUGCCGUGAAAGUCCGGGGCUCAACUCCGGAUCUGCGGUGGGUACGGGCAGACUAGAGUGAUGUAGGGGAGACUGGAAUUCCUGGUGUAGCGGUGAAAUGCGCAGAUAUCAGGAGGAACACCGAUGGCGAAGGCAGGUCUCUGGGCAUUAACUGACGCUGAGGAGCGAAAGCAUGGGGAGCGAACAGGAUUAGAUACCCUGGUAGUCCAUGCCGUAAACGUUGGGCACUAGGUGUGGGGGACAUUCCACGUUUUCCGCGCCGUAGCUAACGCAUUAAGUGCCCCGCCUGGGGAGUACGGCCGCAAGGCUA